rnacentral:rRNA from 1 species
UACGGGGGGGGCAAGCGUUGUUCGGAAUUACUGGGCGUAAAGGGCUCGUAGGCGGCCAACUAAGUCCGACGUGAAAUCCCCAGGCUUAACCUGGGAACUGCGUCGGAUACUGGAUGGCUUGAAUCCGGGAGAGGGAUGCGGAAUUCCAGGUGUAGCGGUGAAAUGCGUAGAUAUCUGGAGGAACACCCGUGGCGAAGGCGGCUCUCUGGUACGGAACUGACGCUGAGACGCGAAAGCGUGGGGAGCGAACAGG